AGUGAACGCUGGCGGCAGGCUUAACACAUGCAAGUCGAACGGCAGCACAGUAAGAGCUUGCUCUUACGGGUGGCGAGUGGCGGACGGGUGAGGAAUACAUCGGAAUCUACUCUUUCGUGGGGGAUAACGUAGGGAAACUUACGCUAAUACCGCAUAUGACCUACGGGUGAAAGCAGGGGAUAUUCGGACCUUGCGCGAUUGAAUGAGCCGAUGUCGGAUUAGCUAGUUGGCGGGGUAAAGGCCCACCAAGGCGACGAUCCGUAGCUGGUCUGAGAGGAUGAUCAGCCACACUGGAGCUGAGACACGGUCCAGACUCCUGCGGGAGGCAGCAGUUGGGAAUAUUGGACAAUGGGCGCAAGCCUGGUCCAGCCAUACCGCGUGGGUGGAGGAGGCCUUCGGGUUGUAAAGCCCUUUUGUUGGGAAAGAAAAGCAGCCGGUUGAUACCCCGCUGUUCUGACGGUACCCAAAGAAUAAGCACCGGCUAACUUCGUG
rnacentral:rRNA from 1 species